CACGUAGGCGGAUCUUUAAGUCAGGGGUGAAAUCCUGGAGCUCAACUCCAGAACUGCCUUUGAUACUGGGGAUCUCGAGUCCGGGAGAGGUGAGUGGAACUGCGAGUGUAGAGGCGAAAUUCGUAGAUAUUCGCAAGAACACCAGUGGCGAAGGCGGCUCACUGGCCCGGUACUGACGCUGAGGUGCGAAAGCGUGGGGAGCAAACA
rnacentral:rRNA from 1 species